rnacentral:rRNA from 1 species
AAAUAGAUACCCCCGGUAGUCCACGCCGUAAACGAUGGAUGCUAGCUGUUAGGAGUAUCGACCCUCCUAGUAGCGUAGCUAACGCGUUAAGCAUCCCGCCUGUGGAGUACGGUCGCAAGACUAAAACAUAAAGGAAUUGACGGGGACCCGCACAAGCGGUGGAGCGUGUUGUUUAAUUCGAUGGUAAGCGAAGAACCUUACCCAGGCUUGACAUCCUGCUAAUCACUCCGAAAGGAGAGAGUGCCUUCGGGCCGCAGUGACAGGUGUUGCAUGGCCGUCGUCAGCUCGUGUCGUGAGAUGUUUGGUUAAGUCCAUCAACGAGCGCAACCCUUAUAGUUAGUUGUAUUUCUCUAGCUAGACUGCCCUGGCAACAGGGAGGAAGGAGGGGAUGAUGUCAGGUCAGUAUUACCCUUACGCCUGGGGCUACAAACACGCUACAAUGGCCGGUACAAAGGGCAGCCAACCCGCGAGGGGGAGCAAAUCCCAUCAAAACCGGUCUCAGUUCGGAUAGCAGGCUGAAACUCGCCUGCUUGAAG